CAUGGAAAUCAAAAUAAAGAAACCGAACUAACGUAUAUUUGAUAAUGGAUCAAUUCAUUUUAAUAUCAAAACUAAAAGCACAAAAUAUUUAUUAUGCUGGAUAUAAAUUUACUAUGUCGUGGUUUUGUAUAAGACAAAAAGAACAAAUGCACGUGUAGUUUUCUUUUCUUCCGUUUUCAUUAUCUGUCUUUGUAUAUUAUUCUUGGGAACAUCUAUACUCUUGGGG